rnacentral:ncRNA from 2 species
ACAUCUAGUAACAUAUAUAGUGAUGCGUUUGCAUUUAAAAGGGAAUCCGGUGCAAGUCCGGAACAGCCCACUCUACUGUAAGAAGGACGAAGGCCUAAGACAAGCCACUCAUUGAUGAAAAUGGGGAAGGAGAAGCCGGAGGAAGAAUUUAAGUCAGGAGACCUGCUAUAUAUGAAAGAAUUUU